UAGUGAGUUUGAUCCUGGCUCAGAACGAACGCUGGCGGCAGGCCUAACACAUGCAAGUCGAGCGAGGUAGCAAUACCUAGCGGCGGACGGGUGAGUAACGCGUGGGAACGUACCCUUUGCUACGGAAUAGCCCCGGGAAACUGGGAGUAAUACCGUAUGUGCCCUUCGGGGGAAAGAUUUAUCGGCAAAGGAUCGGCCCGCGUUGGAUUAGGUAGUUGGUGGGUAAUGGCCUACCAAGCCGACGAUCCAUAGCUGGUCUGAGAGGAUGAUCAGCCACACUGGAACUGAGACACGGUCCAGACU
rnacentral:rRNA from 1 species